ensembl:snRNA
GUGUUGUAUGAAAGAGAGAAGGUUAGCACUCCCCUUGACAAGGAUGAAAGAGUCACUCGGGCCUGACAAUACGUAUCUAACCGUCGUGGGGUUGUUUUGC